rnacentral:misc_RNA from 1 species
GAUGAAGAACGCAGCGAAUUGCGAUAAGUAGUGUGAAUUGCAGAAUUCAGUGAAUCAUCGAAUCUUUGAACGCACAUUGCGCCCUUUGGUAUUCCUUAGGGCAUGCCUGUUCGAGCGUCAUUUAAACCUUCAAGCUAAGCUUGGUGUUGGGUGACUGUCCGCUUCACGGCGGACUCGCCUCAAAAUUAUUGGCGGCCGGUACAUUGGCUUCGAGCGCAGCAGAAACGCGAACUCGGGCCCGUCGUAUUGGCUCCCAGAAGCUAUCUUCACAAUUUUGACCUCGGAUCAGGUAGGGAUACCCGCUGAACUUAAGCAUAUCAAUAAGCGGAGGA